CCAAGACAGCGGUUUUCAAUUUCCACACGAGAAGAAGGACAUUCUGUGUGCCACAGUGACUAGUAGUAUGGAAAGUGUGGUUCUCACAAAGGCACAGCCCUGUCAGGUAUGUAGUGAAAUGAUUCCUAUGGCUCAAACACAGCAAAUGCCUUAAAGGUAAUGACUUUCUUUUUCCAUUUCAAUAUCAUUCAGAAAUCAACCAAUCUAGAAUGGAGUGAUGGUUUGCUUCAGUCUUCAUUGAUCCAAAACAUCUUGACUGCUUGUGACUGGCUGGAUGCCAACAAAGUCCAACUUGUUGGGACAGUCCUCCAGCCAAGAAUUCUGGAAAUGGACGACGAUGAAGUUACGUACACAAUUGAAAAAUCAGAACAAAGGGGAGACGAUGAAGAUACUGAAGAAGUCAUGUCCACCUUGUUAUUUACUUUUGAAUGCAUGAAGGACAUGAACUUUUUUCUUGAUGAGAUACGGGGUAAAAAAAAAUAUUCCCAUUACUUGCUGCUGUUCUACAAAUUAGAUUUUUGUGUUUUAUUUAUUAUUUUUUUUUUUCCAGCCUUCAAAAUUUCCAAGGAACUAAAUGUGGCAGAAAGCCUACAGUGAUGUCAUUUUGUUCAGUGGAUUUGAUCAGUGAUUCACUGUAAAGAAGAGUGGGGAUGGACUGAUUUUCUGACCUGGUUCAAUAGUUCCUUGUCUACUGAAAUGACCAAUGUAAUGAAUGGAGGACACGGAUGGAUCUCCUAACUGGGAUUGUGUGCUUUAUUUCUUAAAAAUAAAUUCAUAUUUGAA